rnacentral:lncRNA from 12 species
GGCGUCAUUGUUCAUGUUCGCUGGAUGCUGUAAAGUCUGAUUUGCAUUAGAAACCUCUGCAUUCAAUAAACAAAAAUAGGGAUAAUGACCAAAGCGCUAUUUGGAACAGAAAACAAACUCAAGCAAUGAGUGUUUUCCACUGAAUUCAUUCAAGAUUUUAUUAGUUGAGCUCUCACUUAGGUUAUUAGGCUCAGCUUGCCUUUAAUUUCUUUGGCCUCAGUUAUUCAAAACAAAAGGAGCCUAGUGUGUGCGCGCGUGUGUAUGUGUGUGUGUGCGCGCACACACACACACACACACACACACACGGACGCAUCACACACAGGCUUUGUACAUUCUUCACAUUGCAAACCCAUCAACAAAAGGAGGAAGAAGAUCUGAGGGGAAUGAGUGGUUUUUGCGGGUUUAGGGAUGGAGAAUUUCUCUGCAUAAACAAGAAGGUUUGGAUUGGAAGCCUGCUAAAAAAAAUGUUAACAGCUGACCACAGGGUUGUAAAUCCAGACUGGAAGGAGAAAAAGAGAAACAUUGCAAGUGAGUGAAGUGUGUGUGGCUGCAAUGUUUGUGGGUUAGAUGAGAAACAAGCGCUGAGUGAAACCGAGAAGGGGGGUGGGGGGUGGCUGGUGUGAUUUGUUUGGCGUGCAGAGCCAAUAGGAAUCCCAGACUGCGAUAAUAUCCCGGUGCAGCGCCGCGCGGAGUCAGAGCUGAGCCCCGGGCCGGUGCACAUCUGCGAGCCGCAGCCCAGCGCGCGCCGCGGAGCCGGCGCCCCGCCGCCCCCAGCCCCAGCCCCAGCCCGGCCCCCGGCCCCGGCCCCGGCCCCGGCCCCCGCCCCGGCCCCCGCCCCGGCCCCGGCCCCGGCCCGCGCGCCUCCGCAUGCGCGUCCGCGCCGCCCCGGCCGCGGGCCCCCGAAGGCGGCAGAGCGAGAGCCGGCGCACCGCGCGCAGGGGACUGUAGAGCGCGGAGGAGCGGGACGCGAGGAGGCGGCUUCCAUCACGUCAUUGCAGUUGUGACCUGUAGCAACUCAAACAGCAUCUGAUGGUUAGAAAGCAGGCGUUGAA